GAGAUAAUUUCCCAAAAAUCUCUCUCUUUCCCUCCCCCACUUUGCCCUUUCACUUUUCCCAUCUUUCUCUCACGUUGGUUUUCUUUUCCCCUUGCUUUCUUUCUUUCACUUGUUACAGUAAAGGAAAAAAAAUAUAACCUUUUGCUGAUUAUUCCAUGUUUUUUCAAAGAUUUUUUUAUUCGUUUGUGUUCCUCUUGAUUCAUCAUUGACACUUCUUUUACGUGGUGUUGUUUGCACGUUUGAGAAAGUUAGGUAAGGUCUCGUUUUGUUGUGAUAUAUCAUUGUUGAGAUUAGGAAGUAAGUUUUUAGUUUAAUUGUUUGGUACAGUUAGGAGGAGAUUGUGAAACGAGCGGAAAACGGAAAACUAAGGAUUUUGGAUCUGCCGCUAUGGUUUUGGGUUUUGGGAUCUUCGUGGUUGUAUCGACAUCGAAAAACGAAUAGGUGUGUAAUGAAAACCUCAAAAAAUAACGAACGACGUAAUGCCAAAAAGCUUAUUGUCGAUGUCACAUAGCCAUGUGUCAAGCCAUGUGGAUCACACUGGUUGGGUUGAUUGGGCUGUGUGGCCACACAGGCGUGUGGGCCAUUUUUCGUAAAAUUUUGUUAGGUUGUAUUUGAAGUGCAAUUCAAAAUUAGUUAUAUCAUUGGCUCCGAAAUGUGUUCUGUAUGUAUUAUGAAUACGAAAUCUGAUAUUCUACCUC